CAGCAGUGUCAAUGAUGUGCUGGAAGAAGAGAGACAGUGAGGGAAACUUGAUCUUUGCAAGACCACGUUCAACCCGGAAUGUCUCAAAUCAGGCUGGCUGCAGUCGUAACACUGAUCCCCCCGUUGCUGCUCCUGACUGUGAUCUGAUCUUUGCUCCAGCUAUCGCUCCAGAGACUGUUGAGGGGUUUCUACGAGAUCUCCAGCAGUCUCUGAGCGAUACUACAGGAGAUGAGGUGGUAGCACAAACCCCAAGUGCUUCUCUGCUGGCAU